GCUGUCGAGGGGCCAGCAGGCGCGGUAAUGCAGUGGGUGCAUGCGUUAAUCGGAUUUACUUGGGUUAAAGUGGGAGUAGGUGGCUCGCGAAGUCGAUUGUGAAAGCCGUGGGCUCAACCGGGGAAUUGCAGUCGAGACUGGAGGGCUAGAGGUCGGUAGAGGGUGACGGAAUUCCCGGUGUAGCGGUGAAAUGCGUAGAUAUCGGGAGGAACAUCGAUGGCGAAGGCGGCUACCUGGACCGGUACUGACGCUGAGGCGCGAAAGCUAGGGUAGCAAACAGGAUUAGAUACCCUGGUAGUC
rnacentral:rRNA from 1 species